GAGGAAAGAGGGGGGCGUGCCUAAUACAUGCAAGUCGAGCGAACAGACGAGGAGCUUGCUCCUCUGACGUUAGCGGCGGACGGGUGAGUAACACGUGGAUAACCUACCUAUAAGACUGGGAUAACUUCGGGAAACCGGAGCUAAUACCGGAUAACAUGUUGAACCGCAUGGUUCAACAGUGAAAGGCGGUUUUGCUGUCACUUAUAGAUGGAUCCGCGCCGCAUUAGCUAGUUGGUAAGGUAACGGCUUACCAAGGCAACGAUGCGUAGCCGACCUGAGAGGGUGAUCGGCCACACUGGAACUGAGACACGGUCCAGACUCCUACGGGAGGCAGCAGUAGGGAAUCUUCCGCAAUGGGCGAAAGCCUGACGGAGCAACGCCGCGUGAGUGAAGAAGGUCUUCGGAUCGUAAAACUCUGUUAUUAGGGAAGAACAAAUGUGUAAGUAACUAUGCACGUCUUGACGGUACCUAAUCAGAAAGCCACGGCUAACUACGUG
rnacentral:rRNA from 1 species